rnacentral:rRNA from 1 species
CAGUAGCCGCGGUAAUACGGAGGGUGCAAGCGUUAAUCGGAAUUACUGGGCGUAAAGCGCACGCAGGCGGUCUGACAAGUCAGAUGUGAAAUCCCCGGGCUUAACCUGGGAACUGCAUUUGAAACUGUCAGACUGGAGUCUUGUAGAGGGGGGUAGAAUUCCAGGUGUAGCGGUGAAAUGCGUAGAGAUCUGGAGGAAUACCGGUGGCGAAGGCGGCCCCCUGGACAAAGACUGACGCUCAGGUGCGAAAGCGUGGGGAGCAAACAGGAUUAGAUACCCGUGUAGUCCCUGUCUCUUAUAC